rnacentral:ncRNA from 2 species
GCAAAAUUAUAAGCGCCGGGACUUAUUGGGUUGCCAAUAAGUUGACGAGGUCAGGGUUUAUCGAGUAAUCGGCGGAUGCCCUGCGGCUGACCACCGUUAGCUACCCUACAAAACCGAAAAGCGAUUUUCGGGACAAAGGUGGAGCGGGUCAAAAA